rnacentral:rRNA from 1 species
AGAGACAGCAGUCGCCGCGGUAAUACAGAGGAUGCAAGCGUUAUCCGGAAUGAAUGGGCGUAAAGCGUCUGUAGGUGGCUUUUCAAGUCCGCCGUCAAAUCCCAGGGCUCAACCCUGGACAGGCGGUGGAAACUACCAAGCUGGAGUACGGUAGGGGCAGAGGGAAUUUCCAGUGGAGCGGUGAAAUGCGUUGAGAUCGAAAAGAACACCAACAGCGAAAGCACUCUGCUGGGACGACACCGACACUAAGAGACGAAAGCUAGGGGAGCAAAUGGGAUUAGAUACCCGCGUAGUCCCUGUCUCUUAUAC